rnacentral:rRNA from 1 species
UACGUAGGUGGCAAGCGUUAUCCGGAUUUACUGGGUGUAAAGGGAGCGUAGACGGUAAAGCAAGUCUGAAGUGAAAUGCCAGUGCUCAACACUGGAACUGCUUUGGAAACUGUUUGGCUGGAGUGCAGGAGAGGUAAGUGGAAUUCCUAGUGUAGCGGUGAAAUGCGUAGAUAUUAGGAGGAACACCAGUGGCGAAGGCGGCUUACUGGACUGUAACUGACGUUGAGGCUCGAAAGCGUGGGGAGCAAACAGG